UGGAUGAGUUGCGAACGGGUGAGUAACGCGUAGGUAACCUGCCUUGUAGCGGGGGAUAACUAUUGGAAACGAUAGCUAAUACCGCAUAACAAUGGAUGACACAUGUCAUUUAUUUGAAAGGGGCAAUUGCUCCACUACAAGAUGGACCUGCGUUGUAUUAGCUAGUAGGUGAGGUAAUGGCUCACCUAGGCGACGAUACAUAGCCGACCUGAGAGGGUGAUCGGCCACACUGGGACUGAGACACGGCCCAGACUCCUACGGGAGGCAGCAGUAGGGAAUCUUCGGCAAUGGGGGCAACCCUGACCGAGCAACGCCGCGUGAGUGAAGAAGGUUUUCGGAUCGUAAAGCUCUGUUGUAAGUCAAGAACGGGUGUGAGAGUGGAAAGUUCACACUGUGACGGUAGCUUACCAGAAAGGGACGGCUAACUACGUGCCAGCAGCCGCGGUAAUACGUAGGUCCCGAGCGUUGUCCGGAUUUAUUGGGCGUAAAGCGAGCGCAGGCGGUUUGAUAAGUCUGAAGUUAAAGGCUGUGGCUCAACCAUAGUUCGCUUUGGAAACUGUCAAACUUGAGUGCAGAAGGGGAGAGUGGAAUUCCAUGUGUAGCGGUGAAAUGCGUAGAUAUAUGGAGGAACACCGGUGGCGAAAGCGGCUCUCUGGUCUGUAACUGACGCUGAGGCUCGAAAGCGUGGGGAGCGAACAGGAUUAGAUACCCUGGUAGUCCACGCCGUAAACGAUGAGUGCUAGGUGUUGGAUCCUUUCCGGGAUUCAGUGCCGCAGCUAACGCAUUAAGCACUCCGCCUGGGGAGUACGACCGCAAGGUUGAAACUCAAAGGAAUUGACGGGGGCCCGCACAAGCGGUGGAGCAUGUGGUUUAAUUCGAAGCAACGCGAAGAACCUUACCAGGUCUUGACAUCCCGAUGCUAUUUCUAGAGAUAGAAAGUUACUUCGGUACAUCGGUGACAGGUGGUGCAUGGUUGUCGUCAGCUCGUGUCGUGAGAUGUUGGGUUAAGUCCCGCAACGAGCGCAACCCCUAUUGUUAGUUGCCAUCAUUCAGUUGGGCACUCUAGCGAGACUGCCGGUAAUAAACCGGAGGAAGGUGGGGAUGACGUCAAAUCAUCAUGCCCCUUAUGACCUGGGCUACACACGUGCUACAAUGGUUGGUACAACGAGUUGCGAGUCGGUGACGGCGAGCUAAUCUCUUAAAGCCAAUCUCAGUUCGGAUUGUAGGCUGCAACUCGCCUACAUGAAGUCGGAAUCGCUAGUAAUCGCGGAUCAGCACGCCGCGGUGAAUACGUUCCCGGGCCUUGUACACACCGCCCGUCACACCACGAGAGUUUGUAAC
rnacentral:rRNA from 1 species